CCGAAUGGGGAAACCCAGUGUGUUCCGACACACUAUCGUUAACUGAAUACAUAGGUUAACGAGGCGAACCGGGGGAACUGAAACAUCUAAGUACCCCGAGGAAAAGAAAUCAACCGAGAUUCCCCCAGUAGCGGCGAGCGAACGGGGAGCAGCCCGGAGUCUGAAUCAGCUUGUGUGUUAGUGGAACGGUCUGGAAAGUCCGACGGUACAGGGUGAUAGUCCCGUACACGAAAAUACACUUGCUGUGAACUCGAAGAGUAGGGCGGGACACGUGGUAUCCUGUCUGAAUAUGGGGGGACCAUCCUCCAAGGCUAAAUACUCCUGACUGACCGAUAGUGAACCAGUACCGUGAGGGAAAGGCGAAAAGAACCCCGGCGAGGGGAGUGAAAAAGAACCUGAAACCGUGUACGUACAAGCAGUGGGAGCCUCUUUAUGGGGUGACUGCGUACCUUUUGUAUAAUGGGUCAGCGACUUAUAUUCUGUAGCAAGGUUAACCGUAUAGGGGAGCCGAAGGGAAACCGAGUCUUAACUGGGCGUUAAGUUGCAGGGUAUAGACCCGAAACCCGGUGAUCUAGCCAUGGGCAGGUUGAAGGUUGGGUAACACUAACUGGAGGACCGAACCGACUAAUGUUGAAAAAUUAGCGGAUGACCUGUGGCUGGGGGUGAAAGGCCAAUCAAACCGGGAGAUAGCUGGUUCUCCCCGAAAGCUAUUUAGGUAGCGCCUCGUGAACUCAUCUUCGGGGGUAGAGCACUGUUUCGGCUAGGGGGCCAUCCCGGCUUACCAACCCGAUGCAAACUACGAAUACCGAAGAAUGUUAUCACGGGAGACACACGGCGGGUGCUAACGUCCGUCGUGAAGAGGGAAACAACCCAGACCGCCAGCUAAGGUCCCAAAGUCAUGGUUAAGUGGGAAACGAUGUGGGAAGGCACAGACAGCCAGGAUGUUGGCUUAGAAGCAGCCAUCAUUUAAAGAAAGCGUAAUAGCUCACUGGUCGAGUCGGCCUGCGCGGAAGAUGUAACGGGGCUAAACCAUGCACCGAAGCUGCGGCAGCGACACUAUGUGUUGUUGGGUAGGGGAGCGUUCUGUAAGCCGUUGAAGGUGUGCUGUGAGGCAUGCUGGAGGUAUCAGAAGUGCGAAUGCUGACAUAAGUAACGAUAAAGCGGGUGAAAAGCCCGCUCGCCGGAAGACCAAGGGUUCCUGUCCAACGUUAAUCGGGGCAGGGUGAGUCGACCCCUAAGGCGAGGCCGAAAGGCGUAGUCGAUGGGAAACAGGUUAAUAUUCCUGUACUUGGUGUUACUGCGAAGGGGGGACGGAGAAGGCUAUGUCAGCCGGGCGACGGUUGUCCCGGUUUAAGCAUGUAGGCGGAGGUUCCAGGUAAAUCCGGUACCUUAUUAACGCUGAGGUGUGAUGACGAGGCACUACGGUGCUGAAGUGAUAAAUGCCCUGCUUCCAGGAAAAGCCUCUAAGCAUCAGGUAACACGAAAUCGUACCCCAAACCGACACAGGUGGUCAGGUAGAGAAUACCAAGGCGCUUGAGAGAACUCGGGUGAAGGAACUAGGCAAAAUGGUGCCGUAACUUCGGGAGAAGGCACGCUGAUAUGUAGGUGAAGUCCCUGCGGACGGAGCUGAAAUCAGUCGAAGAUACCAGCUGGCUGCAACUGUUUAUUAAAAACAC
rnacentral:rRNA from 1 species